rnacentral:rRNA from 1 species
UACGAAGGGGCUAGCGUUGUUCGGAUUUACUGGGCGUAAAGCGCACGUAGGCGGAUCGUUAAGUCGGGGUGAAAUCCUGGAGCUCAACUCCAGAACUGCCUUCGAUACUGGCGAUCUUGAGUCCGGAAGAGGUGAGUGGAACUCCUAGUGUAGAGGUGAAAUUCGUAGAUAUUGGGAAGAACACCGGUGGCGAAGGCAGCUGCUGGCAUGUAUCUGACGCUAAGGCACGAAAGCGUGGGAGCGAACAGG